rnacentral:rRNA from 1 species
UUUGGUGGCGAUAGCGAAGAGGUCACACCCGUUCCCAUGCCGAACACGGAAGUUAAGCUCUUCAGCGCCGAUGGUAGUCGGGGGUUUCCCCCUGUGAGAGUAGGACGCCGCUGUCU